UAUCAUUCAAACACCUAAAGCUCCCUAAACAGACACACCUUCUCUCUCUAGACUCUACACCGUCUCUCUCGUUCUCUCUAAACAAGCGAUUCCCCAAAUUAAAUCACUGUAAUAUAAGAGGUUUAAGGAGAUUAGAAUGAUGUAAGACGGUCAUAUCCGUUAACGAUUCUCCCAAAUCCUUUAGCUUUUAUGUAAGGAGAUCAGACUUCAACUCGUUUAAGGUAAUGUGUUUGAAUUCGUCUAUAAAUAGCCCUUUUCUGAUAAAUACUCACUUCAAUACGUCUCCGGUUUCAAGUCGUUCGUGUAAUUCCUUCCAAAAUGCCGUUAAUUUCACUGAUUUAAUGCGUGCAUGUGUGUGUAUUGGAUGGAUAUCAGUUUAAACCACUGAUUUUAGCUGUGAAUUUCACUAAUUUAGGUUUUGAUUUCGCUGUUUUAGCCAUUGAUUUCAUUGAUUUUAGGCGUGCAUCUGUGUGUAUUGGACGAAGAUCAGUUUAAAUCACUGAUUUUAGUUGUCGAUUCACUGCUUAAGCCCAUCAAUUUCACCGUUUGGCAAUCAAUUUUAUUGAUUCGGCUGUCGAUUUCACUGUUUUAGCUGUCAAUUUCUGCUAAUAGUUUUUUUUCCGUUUAUUUUUGUGUCAAGUUUUGUUACUUUUCUAUUCAAUUAAGUUUGUGUUUGUUUAAAUUUUGACAUUUUUUAUUUUUUUUUCUGCUAAUAUUAACCUAAAUAUCAUUUAUUGCCUUGAUAGGUAGCUAAGGAAUCUAAAACAGCUGGUAAAACUAUUGGGAUCGACAUCAACAAAAUCAUAUUUGAUAGGUAUAGCUCUUGUUAGUUAACUUUAUCCUUUCUUUUGAGCAGAUGUAAUAUAUUCUGAAUUCAUAAUUGUUGAAAAUCAAAGCUUAUUGAUUCUUUUAUUCCUUGCUACACUUGAUUGUCAUGAGCUUAGAGGACAGGGCCGAUAUGUUUUUGCAUUGUUUUUCAGUUAUACCAUGCUCAGUGCUCAAUCUCCCCGUGAGUUUCAGCUGCCAACACAUAAGAACAGAAUAAAUAGUAGAAAAAUCUUAUGUGUGAUAUACUUUGAACAGUUAUCUAGUGUAACAUAUGUUAUUAAACUUCUCCUCUAGUUUUCACUCGUCUGUUGAGUUGGUUUUGACAUAUCAAUUGUAUUUAUAUGUAUGGUUGUAUGAAGUACAGAAUGGGCAAAAUCCUAGUUGAAUCAUAAAACAUUUAAAAUGUUCACAACAAAUUUCUGGUUGAUAAGUUUCAGGUUCAGGAAUGAUAAAAUCUGCAUACUCUAGUCUUUGAAUGUUUCAAGCAUUCUCGAACAAUAAGAGGUUUUUAGUGCUAACAGUUAUCACCUGGAUUGGAAAGUAUUCCAACCCGCCUGACUUUUCUAAGAUAUGCUUUUCAUUUUAUUUGGUUUGAAUUCUAUAAAACUGGUGAAAGAGGAUAGACUUGGUGUUCAUUUAAGAUGUCCUCCAAUUUUGGCGGAGGAUAUUGUAGACAUGUGAUUUUUGACCCUCCCCAAUAUUUUUUAUAUUUUAGCUUGUUAAUAUUUAAUUUAGGCCUAAUAUCGC
rnacentral:lncRNA from 1 species